AAUAAGAGGAGGAGGAGAAAGAGAAGAGGCUCUUAGUCUGUCCGUCAGGCUAUUUCUGACUGCUGCCAUUUCUCUGAUUAGAUUAUGGAGAAACAGAAACCUGGCCCUCCAUCGUCCUAUCCUCCCUCUUGCUCCAUCUCCCUCGCUCCUCUUCCUCCAUCUCAUGCACUACUUCUCCUUCUCCUCCAUUUUUCUCUGUCUUCCUCUUCCUCUACUGUCCGUCUGUCUGAAUGUGUAUGUCCUUCUCAUGCCCUGGUGCUUCUCCUCAACCUCCACUGCUGCUGAGCAGACUGUAAAAAUGAGAGGGUUAAAACAUAAGGGAAUUUUUUUUGUUUGUUUGUUUGUUUAUUUGACAGAGAGAACAUCAGGUGUUGUUGCAUCUCAUUAAAGAGCAAACGAUGCUGUGUAUGCAGGACUUCUAACCAUGGCUAAUUUGCGGUCCUUGUCCAUUGUUAGACAGCGGAAAAUACAGCACUUGAUACAUAAACCACUAAAGUGCUGUACAUGGGAUAAAUAAAACAAGUAAAAAUCCAGAUAAAAAUCCUAGCAGUGGUACAUGUGGACUUGUUAGAGGAGAGAUUAAAGCAUCCUGUCAUACCUCAGUCAUUGUUCUGUUUUGAGCUAUUUUUAAGCUAGAGCUAGAAUCAGCAAACAUGGUAGUUCGGGGCAACAUGUCUCAGUCAUUUUAGGGUUAGUUGUCACAUGUUUAAAAGGGAUUAAGAUUAACAUAGAGAGUCUGUUUAUCAGGAGUUGUCAUAUUGAAAUUUUGACUUUGAUUUUACAGAAAAAAGACUUUUAAAGGAGAGGAGAAAGCAAAAAGACAUGGUCAGGAAUUACAAAAGAAAAACAGAACGUGUCAGUGCAGUAACUGACCUGAUGCUGAGGGCAGUCAGGCAGGUAACCCUAGCUGAUAAAUCAAUCUGGACUACAAUAAAGGACCUUAAUUUCAACUACCAUACCUUAGCGCGGUACUGCAAAACAUUCACCCCAGCCGAAUCAAAGAGACAGACAGCUCUCCAAACUCCAGAGCAUGUUACAUAAUAUUUACUGCAAACUGCUUUACUGGUUGCAGAUCUGGGUUAAAGCUUCAUCAUGCCACAAGUGUCACCUAAGUGUAACACCAGAUUGGUCUGAGACUGUUCAAGUGUAUAUAGUCAUCCACGUUUCCAAAUAUUCCACUUGAAUCUUGUUGACCGAAAGGAGAGUCCAUGUAGGGUAAUAACAAAGCACAACAUAUUUUGGGAGCCCGAGUCAUGUUAAACAUGGGUACAAGGUCCUUGUUAAGGAUGGUUGUCGUAGGCCCAUGGCUCCAGAAAUCUAGCACCAAAGUAUCUGAGGUACUACACGACUGGCUAAAGAAAAUCACCCUAACAGAUAUGAAAAUGACAUGAAUACGGAAUAUAUACCUGAGACUUUGGUCUUUCAUCUGGUACACAUUUUGUUUAUAUACGAUGCAUCGAUUCUAAGAAAUAUAUAAGAGUGUAAAAAGUGUGACAACAAGCCCCGGUCUCCCCUACUUCAGCAGCAGUAACAGCAGCCAGGUGAAGGUGCUGAAUGAUGAACGACUACUAGCGGCUCUCCCAUUAUCAUAUCGGUCCCUGCUCUUAACGGGGGAUUUUCAUCCGUGUCCCUCUGCACUCCUCUCAUCCCUCCCUCCCUCUCUUCUCCUUAUUGUACUCCCCCAAGGAACACGAUCGAUAUCACCUCCAUUAGGCCUACCUUCCUCCUCUCCUCUCUCACUUAAAGAUGCUCUCAUUCAUACACAGCACUCUUACACCAGUCUGCAUAUUUAUUCUGCGUGUUUGAAAUGAGACUCCUGCCUCUUGCGUUGACUUUGGGUCUAUGCGUGUAUGAAGGGAGGGGGGAAUACAACGUCGAAUGCCACCCUGUUACCGCAAGGCAAUCACGUGACAGUCCCCUGGGAAAAUUAGCAUAAAAGACGCAUAAAGGAGCCCACCAAAAACACACCAGUCUGCCCUCCUUUCUUUUAAAGAAAAGGAACAAAUCCAUUCCGCCUAAUUCGAACCUUGCUCAGGGACAGCUCGCGUGGCAGAUUGCAGCCUAAUUAGUUUAGAGGGAAUUUAAUUCAAUUAACUUUCCACAGCUCCGCGCGCCCCGCCGCUGGGCUGCUUUCAGAGCGCGGGGCCAGAGCUCGAGAUCUAAUUAGCGUGUUUGGAGAAGCUCUCCUGCGCGCGGCCAUCCUUCGCUGCUCCAGCUGUGGCGUGCGUGCGCGUGUGUGAGUGUGAGUGUGAGCGUGUGUGUGUGUAGUGUGGUCUCCGGGGACCUGGUUUUUAUCCUAAAAAGCUUCUUUUUUAAGUAACAUGCCGUUAUCCAUUAGGAUAAUACAGGUCUGGUGCCGCAGUGGAGAGAUGUAGGCAGCAUGAGAAUCAGUGCAGCUGCUCCGCCUCAUGUCCCUGCUGCUCAGAGAGGCUCUGACUGAUGUUACCGUGGGUUUAAGACUGGAUGAGUGUCACUUGAUAGGUGAUUAUUAAUAAACACAUUUAAGACACAUGCAGCUCCAAUUCUUUUUCACUAGACUGUUUUACUCUGAUUGAUAUUUUACAUUUUGGGGAGCAGAGACGCUUGAACAUCUAUAGACUAUUUCAAUAAUUGAGCAUCUGCACAACUUUUAUGUCUUUUUAUGAAAAGAUGGUGUAAUAUAAAGAGAUUUGCAUACAUUUUGAAGAACAAAAGAGCAUUUUCAACAGGGGCCUUCUUCUCAGGGUAUUUGUGUCUUUGUCAUCUAGAUGAGAAAACCAAUUAGGGGAGAGUGGGGUAAGAUGAGACAUUUUUCAUAUUUCAGAUCACUACAUCAAGGCAAUCAUAGUUUUGUCUCUAACUUGUGUAUCUGCAUAAAUAUAUUAUUGUCCAUAUAAGAAAUACAAAUACAAGAUAUUUUGCAUCCCUGCAAACCAACAGAAUGAGUGUAAACAUAACUGUCUUGAUAAUAUAGCAUGCCAAAAAAAGUG
rnacentral:lncRNA from 1 species